rnacentral:rRNA from 1 species
CUGCAUGGCGUGUCGUCAGCUCGUGUCGUGAGAUGUUGGGUUAAGUCCCGUAACGAGCGCAACCCUUGUCCUUAGUUACCAGCACGUUAUGGUGGGCACUCUAAGGAGACUGCCGGUGACAAACCGGAGGAAGGUGGGGAUGACGUCAAGUCAUCAUGGCCCUUACGGCCUGGGCUACACACGUGCUACAAUGGUCGGUACAAAGGGUUGCCAAGCCGCGAGGUGGAGCUAAUCCCAUAAAACCGAUCGUAGUCCGGAUCGCAGUCUGCAACUCGACUGCGUGAAGUCGGAAUCGCUAGUAAUCGUGAAUCAGAAUGUCACGGUGAAUACGUUCCCGGGCCUU